CACAACAAUUAAUGAAAUGGUUGCUACAAAUUUAACUAAGCUUCCGCUACAAUAUCAGGAUUUUGCUGAUGUCUGUGAUAAGAAGAAUUCUGAUCAGCUUCCACCUCACAGGCCUUAUGAUUGCCCCAUAGAGCUGCUACCUGGAGCUGCUAUCCCAUUUGGCCGUAUAUACUCCCUUUCUGAGCCUGAAUUGAAAGCACUUCGUGAAUACAUACAAGAAAAUCUUGCCAAAG